rnacentral:rRNA from 1 species
GAUGAACGCUGGCGGCGUGCCUAAUACAUGCAAGUCGAGCGAACAGACGAGGAGCUUGCUCCUCUGACGUUAGCGGCGGACGGGUGAGUAACACGUGGAUAACCUACCUAUAAGACUGGGAUAACUUCGGGAAACCGGAGCUAAUACCGGAUAAUAUAUUGAACCGCAUGGUUCAAUAGUGAAAGACGGUUUUGCUGUCACUUAUAGAUGGAUCCGCGCCGCAUUAGCUAGUUGGUAAGGUAACGGCUUACCAAGGCAACGAUGCGUAGCCGACCUGAGAGGGGGAGCGGACAAAAUGGAACUGAGAACCGGUCGAGAGAACGACGGGAGGAAGCAGUAGGGAAGAGUGGACAAUGAGCGAAAGCCUGAUAAAUCAAUACCGAGUGAGUGAAGAAGGAUGUAGUGUUGUAAAACCCUGUUAUGGGGAAAGAAAAGAAGGAGGAGAAUACCGCGCUGUUAUGACGGUACCUAAAGAAAAAGCAACGGCUAACUUCGUG